rnacentral:piRNA from 1 species
UGUGGCCUAUAUAUACAAUGUAAUGUUUA